rnacentral:rRNA from 1 species
UACGGGGGGAGCAAGCGUUGUUCGGAUUUACUGGGCGUAAAGGGCGCGUAGGCGGCCACCGCAAGUCGACUGUGAAAUCUCCGGGCUUAACCCGGAAAGGUCAGCCGAUACUGUGCGACUAGAGUGCAGAAGGGGCAACUGGAAUUCUCGGUGUAGCGGUGAAAUGCGUAGAUAUCGAGAGGAACACCUGCGGCGAAGGCGGGUAGCUGGGCCGACACUGACGCUGAUGCGCGAAAGCCAGGGGAGCGAACGGG